AUUAAAAAAGCCUGCCCAUGUUUAGCCAAGUUUAUGCUUGGAAGAGGUCUCUGCUUCCAGAGGCUCCUGCUCAAUCUUCAGGGACCACUGUCCUCACAGGGGCCAAACCAGCCAUGUGAGAGGAUACCUGGGCUGAAGGAGCAAUUUAAUCUUCCAAUCUCAGCAGCCUCAUGGUCAGGCGGAUGAAAUGUCAGAAACUGUUAAGGUAACCCACCCUGUGUGUAUCCCUGAGAGAAAAAGUGGAGCAGCAAUUUCCAUCAAUAACUCCCUGCGGAGCUUUGGAAAGGCUCCUUGUUCCUUUAAAGUACUUGGAAUUACUUCAGUCAGGGAAGCUGUCACAUCACUCAUAAAGUGCCUGCAGAGCAGCAACACGGCAGCACCGAGCUGGUGCAGUGCACCCACAAAGAGGAUCAUUUUUAUCCUCCUUCCUUGCCAGAACCACAUUUGCUCAGGGACCUCCAGAGGAAAGAGGAUUUCUGGAAUAUCUUUGGUAACUGUGGUCCUUGGUCCCUCUUCAAUCACCUGCCACCAUCACAGACAGUUGCUCCUCACUCCUGGGCUGAAGAAUGAGACCCAGAUCAGCCUCAGGCACAAAAGCAGGAGAGGCAGAACUUGGUUACCUCAGCUCAGAGACACAGUCCUCAAAAAACCUUUGUGGAUGCAACUUCUCCGUGGAUAUGACCAACACAGCCUUUGCCUCUCUUCAGAGCUGAGAAGGCUUCAUACCCAUCCAGGGAGCUUGGCACCUCUUCAGAUGGCUGUGAGGACCCAGCCUGGCAGUGAUCUUUAGGGAACAUCUCAGCUCACAGAGAUGAAGUCAUGGGAUGAUGACAGUGUUGUAUGGGAAAGUUGUGUAUCAGGACAAACAGCAAGAAGAAAAUGUACUUCAUCAGGCAUCAGGAAUUGCCUCUUAGGAUUGAACAGUGGUUUCUGGCCCUCAGCAGUGAUGUGCUGAAGUGAGACACAAAUUGCUGGUGUCUCUUUCCUGGAAGAAAAGAAAACCUACAGGAGCCACAGCAGGCUGCAGUGCGGGGUUUCCUCUCCAGCCAUUCUUCUGUCCUGACAACCAGCCAGGAUGUCACCUUCUGCUUGUCCCCAGUCUCCAUAGGGGCAAAAGACUGAUGACAAAGAGUAUUUCCUGCUCUUCUGUCCCCCAUGGUGGCCUCAGUCUUACCUGAACUCUCUGUAAUGAUGCAGAAUCAUCUACAAGAGUCACACUGGUUGCUUACAGCAGCUUUAACUUUCAAUCCCAUGCUAGGACUCUGAUAUCAAUGCGUAGGGAGAGGAUUGUCCUUAAUAUAAACAUGGCUGGAAUUAUGUAUAUCUUCAUUGCUUGCCUGAGUUCUUUAAAUCUUAAAGCUUGCAAGUGUUAAUUGCAGUCCCCACCUGUUUCUAUCACUUGUUAUUUUUCCUCUCAGCCCAAGGGGUCUCUGUCCCUCAUCUUUGGCCAGUACAGAAGUGAUCACAGGGUUGUUCAAACAAGAUGGGAAAUUUGCCUGUCAAGGCUGUUAAUUCACUCCCUUUUUGACCUGCACUAGCCCACCAAAUCUGCUGCAAUUAUGUGUUCAGCUUAGCAUUCUUUUGCUUUAAACUGCAAAGUCUUUGGGGCAGAAGCCACAUGGCCCCAUCCAGGAAGGAUUUUAGUCCUUCUGCCUAUAUUAGCCAAGAAACUCACAUGAAAUCAAGAGGAAAUUAUUUAUGUCACAUACAUCUACACCAAGGUUCUACCACUGUCACCCAAAUAUUGUUUUUAGAGGUAGGCCACUGGCCUAAUAUGACUGUGGGGACAAACCAGACUUGCAGCUGUGAGGUUACUUAAAGCACACCCUCCAGUUAUGGUGGCUGCCAAAUCAUGAAUAAUUUACCACCUUAUGUCAGAGUGCUUGAAUUUGUGCACCAUAAUUGCAGAUGAUGUCAGCUCUGGGAUUUGUCCUGAGAGGCUAAAAGCCACUGUAGAGCCAUUGUCUCUUGUGGCAUGUUUUCAGCUCCUAAAGCAACAAGUAAUGCAGAAGUAUAGGUCUGAGAAAGACAACCUGUAAUUAAUAUCCCACGUGCAGUUAAAAUGCUGUGGGAAGGAUGGAAAGCAGCUGAUUUCCAGUCAUGGAAGUUUGAGCUCAGCAGCAAAGAUCAGCUGUAGCAGGCAAAGGAUUCCACUUCUGGUGAAAAGGGCUCCUGGUUUGAGUGACAAGAAUCACAGGAACAGCAGGAAUGUGUGUCACUGUGACCAGUCAGAAACUCCUUGCCCAAGCUGCUCCCCACUCCCGGUCUGGAAAUCUUCCUGUGCUGUACAGGAGCAGCAGGCACAGGGUCACAUCCAGGGUAAGGGGCACUGUGGGGUCCUGAUUCCCUUUUCUGAAAAGGAGACAUUCCCAGAAACACUGACAGCCAGAACAUAAAUAGGGUGCUUUUCAAUGUACAAGAAGGAAGGAGACAAAUUUCCUGUAUUCUUUUUCCCUUUUCUUUCAGAGUUCUGGUGUCAGAGUACAAUGCUGAUGCCAGGGCUAGGAGCAGAGAGAGGACAAGGGACUGUAGAGAGACAGGAGGACACUCAUGCACAGCUGGUGCUCAAGGCACACAGCUGGGAAAAUGUUCCUCCUUGUAUCUAACAUGUAUCUCUGUUUAUUUUGUCAUUUAUUUGUUUUAAUUCAUUUUUUACUGCUUUGCUUAAGAUGUACCAAUAUACAGCACAGCAGUAUGAAGCUCAGUUAAAGCUUGAGCUUCUCUUUAUUUUCCCAAGGAAUGACAAGGAUGUCGCCACCCUGCAUGUUCUGACAUGACAGAUCUUCCCCAGAACUGCAACCCAGAACAACAGACUGAGUCAUGCCUGAGGGGGCUCCCCACUGAAAUUCCCAGCAGGAUGGGCUGCCUGGCCUCGCCUCCCAGCUCCAUGGCAUUGUAAAGAGCAGCCUGGUGUGUGCUCAUUUUUCAAGCUGCCCUCACGGGGCCAGGCAUAGUCUAUGUGUGCCACAAAACACAGGGCUGGUUCAUCCCAAACUCAGGACACGAGGAGCUGGCAUUUGUCACCCACCUGCAGCUUGUUUGGAUGGGUGAAGGUUUGGCUCAGCACAAUUAACCACAGAUUUGCCUGGUGCCUCAAGCAUCUUUCAGAGUGACACAAAAACACUCAUGUUACAGCCAGGAGAGAGGAAAGUUUUGACAGAUCCCCAGAAUGCCCCAGACCAGGUCUCUGGAAGGAACAGGGCAGGGACACAGGUCACUCCAGAGCUCUGGAACACAGUGUCAGUUCAACAGGGAUUUUAUUCCAACACCACUUUUCUUCCUAGUGGAGCUGGACACAGACAGCUGGUUUCCAUACAGCUUUAAAUUUAUGAGUAAUCAAAUAGCAGCCCCUGUUAAUUACCUGUCCCUAUUCAAAGGAAAGUGCAGUUUAAAGGCUUUAGUUAUGCUCCAGUAGCUGCAUUAAUGUCACAAGGCUUUAUUGCAAUGAAGAUCCAGGAGCUGGUACUGCAGCCCUGCACAGAGUUCCUGUGACACCCAUAAAGGGUCAGGAAACAGCCAAAAGAAAUACUAAGAUGGGAAAAGGGAAAAGUCCUGAUUUCAGCUAGGGCAGAGUUAAUUUCUUGUCAGCAGUGGUCACAGUGCUAUAUUUUGGAGUCAGAAUGAGAAUGGUGCUGAUAACACGCUGAUGUUUUGGUUUUUUGCUAAGUUUAUCUCAAGUCAAGGACUCUUUUCUUUUUUCCUUGCCCAUGCUCUGCCAGUGAGGAGGCUCCCAAAAGAAACUGAGAGGGAGCCUGGGUGAGACAGGUGACCUGAACUGACCAGAGGGAUAUUCCACACCCCAGAACAUCGUGCCAGUGUAUAAACUGGGGGGAGUUACCCUGACAAAGCCAAUCUGGGUUCAGGAAGGGGGAACUGUAUUGUGUGUCACUUGUUUUUUCCCUUAUCAUUGUUAUUUUAUUUUACUUUAUUUUCAAUGUUCUUAUCUCAAUGUACAUGUUUUACUUCAAUUCUCCCCUCCAUUUCAGCAGGGUGGGGGGAGAGGAGAAGGGGGAGGUUGAGCAAAAGGCUGUGUGGUGUUUCAUCUCCAGCUGGGCUUAAAAUGUCAACAGGGGAAGACUUUUCUUGCACAGCUCGGAGCUAUUUUGUUUUUCUUGACAUGGAAGAAAAUGGGGGGUGGCCUGUGGUGCAGUUAUUCUGGACUAUUAGCAGUGCAGGGAAGGAAGCCCUUUCAUCCAGAGUUUCAAAGCACUUUGGGGUCAUUUGAACAAGGGGAAAAGGGUGGGUCAAAGUCUCAGAGAGGGAAAAGAGUUGGGGCUAAAAUUAACUGGUGCAAAAAAAAUGCAGCCAUGAAUGAAGCCCAAGGAGCAAAACUCCUUUGGGAAGCCUGGCCUUGGGCUCCUAACGGAGCAGAGGAGCAGAGUUACCACAAGGAAGGCGUCCCCUGAAGGAGAUGGACCCAACCCACCUGACAGAACAGUGCAGGAGGAUCUGAUAAUACCCUGACCAAGGGGCCUUGACAGAGACCUCCCUCUUAGAGAGGUUUGCAAGGGAACAGCCCCUCAGGAAAGAGCUUUGCCCUGCCCUCCCGCACAGCAAUUGGGAUCAUGAACCACAGGUCAUUCCCAUUACCACUGUCCACACUCCAGGUAGGAACUUGUCUCCCCUGGGUGCUUCCAUGGAGGGGUGAAUGCUGGUGCAGCCCCUAGCUACAUCCUAGAACUUCAUUCUGUGGUGGGCACCAUAAAAAGAGUUUUAAUUUUAGGGAUUCCCUGUGUGCGGUCAGACUGAGAGUCGGCAAAGGGGCAAGAGAGGUUGUUUGCUUAUUUUCAUUGAAAGCUUAAUUUUCUGUGGAAUGUUCUGUUUUCCUGUGUUUUCUAAUAUGAAAAAUUACUCUUCUCAGUGCAAAAUAUUGCUCUUUGUCAGAAAUAGAAACUCUCAAAAAAAAAUCUCCUGAAAAGCAAUAAAAAGUGGUGCUUUUUUGGCUGGAAAGAGCAAUAUUCAACGUAUUCUGGCAUUUCAAAGUGAAAUAUCUCCUAAUUUGGAAACAAGAACCCACCUCAAGCCACUGCUGUGCCCAUGGGAAUUGCAGUGUGAGUUCCCCAGAUCCACAAAGGUGUCCAUAAACCAGGCUGCACUGUACCCUCCUGGAGGCCUUGCAUCUUCCCAUCAAGGAAAGGCAAUGAGACAUCAGGAAAAGACCAAAGAACAGAGACCAUGGCAUGGCCUGAGACAAAGCUGUAACUCUUAUAAGCCCCCGUGUGAGCAGGCACUCUUCUCUGAGUUACCAAAGCACAACUUUUGGCUUGGUUUGGCUCAACUCCAAAUGAAAUAUUUUGGUUUUGGUUCUUGGGGUAGUUUGAUUUUCAGACAAAAAAACAAAAAACUUUUAAGGUUUUCAAUAGUCAAUAGUAUCCCAUGGCAACCUUUAAAGAGAAAAAUAUUUUCUUUCUCAUUUACAUUUUCAUCAUGAUAAAUAAACAGAUACACUGGCAACCUGUUUUCCCACACCUUUCAAGGGAAGGACCUCAGGGCAGGGCCCCAGGGAGCAAGGUUCCUCCCACUGCAAGAGAAGAUCAGGUUCAAGGCCACCUGAGGAGUAUGAACAUACAUAAACCCAUGGGAUCUGAUGGGAUGAAUCCCAAAGUCCUGAAGAAAUUGGCUGAUGUAGUUAUGAAGACACUCUCUGUGAUAGUUGAAAAGUCACAGCACUCAGGUGAAGUCCCUGGUGACUGGGAAGGGGGGAAAUAUUGAACUCAUCCUAAAAAAGGGUAGAAAGGAAGACUGUGGAAACUCAGAGCUGUCAGCCUCAGCUGUGGGCCUGGGAACACCAUGGAACAGAUCCUCCCCAAAGCUGUGCUAAGGCACAUGGAAAACUGGGGGUGAUCCGGGACUGCCAGUGCAGCUUCACCAAGGACAAGUCCCACCAACACAGUGGCACUCUAGGAUGGAUCAGUGGGCAAGGGAAGUUACAGAUGUCAUUCAUCUGGACUUCUGUAAAACCUUUGACAUGGUCCCACACAAUUCCCACAUCUCUGUAUUGAAGAGAUAUGGAUUUGAUGGAUGGACUGUUUGGUGGACAAGGAAUUGCUCAGAUGGCCACAUUCAGAGAGUCAUGGUCAACAGCUCAAUGUCCACAUGCAGACCAGAGACAAGUGGUGUCCCUCAGGGGUCCAUACUGGGACCAGUACCCCCUAACAUCCUCAAAGACAUAGACAGUGGGAUCGAGGACACCCUCGGCAAGUUUACAGGUGACACCAAGCUGAGUGGUGCUGUUGGCACACCUGAGGGACAGGGUGCCAUCCAGAGGGACCUGGACAAGCUUGAGAAUUCCAUGGGAAUCUCAUCAAGUUGAACCAGACCACGUGCAAGGUGCUGCACUGGGACAGGGCAGCCUCUGUAUCAGUACAGGAGCUGGGGAUGGAGGGAUUGAAAAGAGCCCUGCAGAGAGUGACUUUGGGCUGCUGGUGGAUGAAAAGCUGGACAUAGACAGGAGUGUGUACUCACAGCCCAGAAAGCCAGCCAUAUCCUGGGCUUCAUCCAGGGCAGCAUGGGCAGCUGUAGGGAGGUGAUUCUGUCCUUCUGCUCUGCACUCAUGAGACCCCACACAGGGCACUGCCUCCUCAGCACAGCAAGGGCUUGGGCCUGUUGGAGCUGGUCCAGAGAAAGCCCAAAAAAUGAUCAAGGAAUGGAUCACCUCUUCUAUAAGGAAAGGCUGAGAGGGUUGGGGUUGUUCAGUCUGGAGAAGAAAGGCUCAGGAAGACCUUAAUUCAGUCCUUCAAUACUUAAAGCCACAUCAAGAACCAUUCAUGUCAGCAAGGACAGCAACUUCAACAAUUUUGAACAGAUACUGCUUUAGCUUGCAAUGGAAAUCCUUUGAUGAGCCUCCACAGUUAACCCAGGCAAUCUAACCCAGUCCUUAACUACCUUUACAUCAGGAAGUUUUUCCUAAUGCCUUAAUGAAAUUUCCCUUGCUAAACUUUAAGCCCAUCACUUCCUUUUCUGUCUGCUAUGGGGAACAGACUGCCUGAUCUGCU